rnacentral:rRNA from 1 species
AGUCGAGCGGGGAAGGUAGCUUGCUACCUAACCUAGCGGCGGACGGGUGAGUAAUGCUUAGGAAUCUGCCUAUUAGUGGGGGACAACGUUUCGAAAGGAACGCUAAUACCGCAUACGCCCUACGGGGGAAAGCAGGGGCUCUUCGGACCUUGCGCUAAUAGAUGAGCCUAAGUCAGAUUAGCUAGUUGGUGGGGUAAAGGCCUACCAAGGCGACGAUCUGUAGCGGGUCUGAGAGGAUGAUCCGCCACACUGGGACUGAGACACGGCCCAGACUCCUACGGGAGGCAGCAGUGGGGAAUAUUGGACAAUGGGGGGAACCCUGAUCCAGCCAUGCCGCGUGUGUGAAGAAGGCCUUUUGGUUGUAAAGCACUUUAAGCGAGGAGGAGGCUCCUAUAGAUAAUACCUAUAGUGAGUGGACGUUACUCGCAGAAUAAGCACCGGCUAACUCUGUGCCAGCAGCCGCGGUAAUACAGAGGGUGCGAGCGUUAAUCGGAUUUACUGGGCGUAAAGCGUGCGUAGGCGGCUGAUUAAGUCGGAUGUGAAAUCCCUGAGCUUAACUCAGGAAUUGCAUUCGAUACUGGUCAGCUAGAGUAUGGGAGAGGAUGGUAGAAUUCCAGGUGUAGCGGUGAAAUGCGUAGAGAUCUGGAGGAAUACCGAUGGCGAAGGCAGCCAUCUGGCCUAAUACUGACGCUGAGGUACGAAAGCAUNNNAGCAAACAGGAUUAGAUACCCUGGUAGUCCAUGCCGUAAACGAUGUCUACUAGCCGUUGGGGCCUUUGAGGCUUUAGUGGCGCAGCUAACGCGAUAAGUAGACCGCCUGGGGAGUACGGUCGCAAGACUAAAACUCAAAUGAAUUGACGGGGGCCCGCACAAGCGGUGGAGCAUGUGGUUUAAUUCGAUGCAACGCGAAGAACCU